ACACGGCGAUAAAAUCGCCCCGGACGAGACGCGCCGUACCCGGUCAUGCGAAGACGACGCUCC
rnacentral:ncRNA from 1 species